UACGAAGGGGGCUAGCGUUGUUCGGAAUCACUGGGCGUAAAGCGCACGUAGGCGGUUUGUUAAGUCAGGGGUGAAAUCCUGGAGCUCAACUCCAGAACUGCCUUUGAUACUGGCGAUCUCGAGUCCGGGAGAGGUGAGUGGAACUGCGAGUGUAGAGGUGAAAUUCGUAGAUAUUCGCAAGAACACCAGUGGCGAAGGCGGCUCACUGGCCCGGUACUGACGCUGAGGUGCGAAAGCGUGGGGAGCAAACAGG
rnacentral:rRNA from 1 species